UUUUUUUUUUGCAGUCCUAGAAAUUGAAGUACUCUAUCAUGAAGUACAUCCCCAACCCUUUUUGCUUUUUAUUUUGAGACAGGUCUCACUAAAUUGCUGAGGCUGGCCUUGAACUUGUGAUCCUCCUGCUUCAGCCUCCUGAGUCAUAAGGAUUACAGGUGUAUGCCACUGUGUCCAACAGUGGUCUCCUUUUUCUGAGAACUUCUGAAAAGCCAGCCCUGAUUCCUUUCAUCCAAAAAGUCAGUUUUUCCAUAAAUCUGGGGUUGACCCAAGAAGUCCCAAGGGACCACUCCUACUCCCCAGGGUGCAUUUGUGUACUCUAGAGAAAAGUGUUUUCUUGAUCCUGGCAGUCCCAGACUGGGGCCCACCAUUUGGUGAACAGAGAGUUCAAUCUCUCUUGGCUGGACAGUCUCAGUGAAUAACCUAUACAACCAUAAGUGGUCUCCUGAGACUUUUCCAUGUGUCCUCACCUCUGCUAUCUAUCACAAGCCACCGGUUCGUGAAGCACUUCCAUCUACACAGUUUAACUCUUAGGAACUCUUUAAGGGGACCACCAUCCUGUUUUCAAGGAAAUUGAGGUCAAGAGGGAAAGGAGUUUUCUCAGGAUAAUCCAUUGAGUGGGCAGAGCUGGGACUUGGGUCCUGUUCUUUGUCUUCUUCAGGCAGAGUGUGGUCCUGGACCUAGAGGAGAAAAUUUUGCCUGCCUUCAUGCUUCACAACCCACAAAGCACAUUUACUCACACGGUCUCAUGGGACACCUUGCUCCAUUCAGGCUGCUGUAGCUUCUGGAAGCCUGGCUCCUGCAUCUUCUGCCUACCCAACUCUGCGGCUGGCCCUGCCUUGGUUGAGGGCCAGGGAAUUUGGCAGGGCACCCCUCUGGAUGCUGCUCUCGUGCCGAACAGGAGCUGACUCAGCCUCCAGCAGCCUCACCAAGUUGGAAUUUGGAGCAAGGGAGCGGAGAUGCCACUGGGCUGACUGGGUGGAAGUGGCUGAGUCAUGAGAUGCUGGCUCAACCCCCUCCCCAGCUUCCUCCCCACCCUGAGCUUCCCCAGGGCUGAGUCCCCCUAGUCCAGGCUUGGGAAAUCCCCAGAACUGACCUUGGAAUUGGAGCCUGUUGCCCUGCCUAUCUCAGACCAUCAGUGCUUUGUAUUUGAUUGAAGUGGGCCAAGGUUUGGACAGGCCAUCAUGGGUGCCUGUCCAAAGAUGCCCAGGUGAUAUGGGCAGCCCUGUUCUCCCAUAACAGCGCGCCACACUCAUCCCUGUUCUCCAUCCCCCUGUCUCCAUGGCCCUGCAUUGGCCCAUUCCUUACCAUCUCUUCCAAACAAUGGCAACAGCCACUAGUUUGCCUCCUCUGUCUUCCCACACCUCCAGGUCUAUGGACACUGCAGCAGAGCUGGCCAUGCGUCUGAACUGCUCAAAGUCCUUCCAUGGCUCCCCAAGUCCUGUAAGAGUCCACUCUUCUGGGCUGGCAUUGAUCUGGCACUCAUCAGCUGCUCCAGCUUCCCUCGGACAUCCCUACCUGCCCAUGCUCACUCCACCAAAGCCAACUGGCACUUCCUCACCCCUGGGCUUCGAGCCUUCCUUCUACUAGAACACCUGCUUUGUAGCCCUAUCAUGAGACCUUGUGGUUACUUAUGUAAUCACCUGAUUGAUGUCUGUCUCCUACUGUACCCUAAGUCACCAAGAUUGUGUGCUGUACAAAGCCAGGAACAGUGUCUAAAUUUCAGCCCUGAGUUCACUUCUCCAUAAAUUAUUAAACAAAUGAAGAAAGUAAUUAACUUGGAACCAGCUCCCUUUGUCCCCUCCCACUGCAUCUCUCCCCUACUCCCUUCUCAUCCUUGUUCUAGAAUCGUGAGCUGCAUGUGGUUUUCUUGCACACAUUCUGACAUUCUAGCCUUUCUCACUUCUGUGUCUUUGCUAGGCAUGCUGGUUCCUCACCCACUUUCCUAACUCCACAUCUCAGACCCAUAGACUCAGGGGUCAUCCCUACAGGCCUUCUGCCACCUAUCUUCACCCCAACUGUUCUAGCACAUUCCUAGGUUCCCAGUAUAGCCACCUACCUGUGGUAUCCAUCUUUUUUUGUUGUUGUUGUUCUAGGGAUUGAACCCAGGAGUUUACCACUGAGCUACAUCACCAGCCCUUUUAAUUUUUCAUUUUGAGACAGGGCCUCACUUAAGUUACUGAAGCUGGGCUCAAACUUGUGAUCCUCCUGCCACAGCCUCCAAAGUCAUUGGGAUUGCAGGUGUGUGCCACUGCACCCAGUGUUGUGGCUCCCAUCUGCGUGUCCUGGAUCCCUUGAGGACAGUGGCAGCAGUUUACCUAUCCUCCAGGGUAUCCUCAGUACCCAAAAUAGCACCCAGCCUAGCAGAGGAGUCA
rnacentral:lncRNA from 1 species